rnacentral:rRNA from 1 species
GACGAACGCUGGCGGCGUGCUUAACACAUGCAAGUCGAACGGAAAGGCCCUGCUUUUGUGGGGUGCUCGAGUGGCGAACGGGUGAGUAACACGUGAGUAACCUGCCCUUGACUUUGGGAUAACUUCAGGAAACUGGGGCUAAUACCGGAUAGGAGCUCCUGCUGCAUGGUGGGGGUUGGAAAGUUUCGGCGGUUGGGGAUGGACUCGCGGCUUAUCAGCUUGUUGGUGGGGUAGUGGCUUACCAAGGCUUUGACGGGUAGCCGGCCUGAGAGGGUGACCGGCCACAUUGGGACUGCGAUACGGCCCAGACUCCUACGGGAGGCAGCAGUGGGGAAUAUUGCACAAUGGGCGGAAGCCUGAUGCAGCAACGCCGCGUGCGGGAUGACGGCCUUCGGGGUGUAAACCGCUUUCGCCUGUGACGAAGCGUGAGUGACGGUAAUGGGUAAAGAAGCACCGGCUAACUACGUG